AUGUUGCCAACCUGCCUUACAGAUCUGAGCCUUACAGCUCUGAGAGUUUUGCAUCUUCACUUGGAGACGAUCAUAAGUUAUUACUCUCCUCAGUUAACCAAUAGCUUGUUCUUCCCAGAUCCUAAUUCACGGGAUCUCCGAUCACAAAGGUUGGGUUACUACUAUGGUGUAACAUCUAUGGGUCUCAUACCCAUCUCCCUCGAUGCAAUAUCUAUCACAUUUCGUGAUAGUCCCUUUGUAAAGGGAUCUGCCAGGUUUUUGUCUGUUUGUAUAUACGUAACAGUUAUUACUCCGGAGUUUCUCAACUUCCUGACAGACUUCAAACGUCUUUUCACGUGUCUUGAUGACUUUGCAUUAUCUUUAGAAUUGUUCACUUUAGCGAUAACCGUUUGGUUAUCACAAUUCAUAAGAAUAGCCGGUACAAGUUUUUCAACAACCGGCAAGUCCAUCAAGAGCUCACGCAACCAUUCUGCCUCAACAGUAGCUGUGUCCAAAGCAGUUAAUUCUGCUUCCAUAGUUGACCUCGUCAAUAUGGUUUGCUUGCAAGACCUCCAUGACACUGCGCCACCACCAUGA
rnacentral:rRNA from 1 species